rnacentral:rRNA from 1 species
UCUUUUGAAAGUCUAUAUAAGGUCUAUCCUGCCCAAUGAGGAGUUGAAUGGCUGCGGUAUUUUAACCGUGCUAAGGUAGCAUAAUUAUUUGUCUUUUAAUUGAGGGCUUGUAUGAAAGGUUGGAUGAAGUAAUAACUUUCUUUAAUUUAAUUUAUGAACUUAAUUUUUUAGUUAAAAAGCUAAAAUAUAUUUAUUGGACGAGAAGACCCUAUAGAUCUUUAUAAUUUAAUAGGUUUUAUAAUUUAGAGUAUUGCUUAUUUUAAUUUAAUGGAAUUAUUUGAUUGGGGUGAUUGUAGAAUUUUAUUAACUUCUAUUAUUUGUUUUUCAAGAAUUAUUGUUUUAUUGAUCCAUAACUUAUGAUUAAAAGAUUAAG